UUCUGUGUAACAUGAGAUGAGUUGGAGAUGGCAGACUUAUCAGGAUAUUUGCGUUCUUGCCUAAGCACGGGAAAACUUGCCUCUUUGGCAAUCUUAGUCUCUGGGGGAAUUGUCUUGCAAAUUUUGGCAUGUACUUUGUAUAAUAAUUGGUGGCCGAUGCUAAGUGGUGAGAUAAAGCAUCUCUGUAUUUAUUUCUUGAAGAUUUAAGGGAAUGAGAUGUUAAUGUGACCGAACAUUCCUGGUUUGUUAUUACAUUUGGUGUUUUAUUUUC